rnacentral:rRNA from 1 species
AAUUGAAGAGUUUGAUCAUGGCUCAGAUUGAACGCUGGCGGCAGGCCUAACACAUGCAAGUCGAGCGGAAACGGCAGCAUUGAAGCUUCGGUGGAUUUGCUGGACGUCGAGCGGCGGACGGGUGAGUAAMGGCUGGGAACCUGCCCUGACGMGGGGGAUAACCGUUGGAAACGACGGCUAAUACCGCAUAAUGUCUYAGUUCAUUACGAGCUGGGACCAAAGGUGGCCUCUACAUGUAAGCUAUCGCGUUGGGAUGGGCCCAGUUAGGAUUAGCUAGUUGGUAAGGUAAUGGCUUACCAAGGCGACGAUCCUUAGCUGGUUUGAGAGGRUGAUCAGCCACACUGGGACUGAGACACGGCCCAGACUCCUACGGGAGGCAGCAGUGGGGAAUAUUGCACAAUGGGGGAGACC